GGGGAAUUUUCCGCAAUGGGCGAGAGCCUGACGGAGCAACGCCGCGUGAGGGAGGAAGGCCUGUGGGUCGUAAACCUCUUUUCUCAGGGAAGAAGUACUGACGGUACCUGAGGAAUCAGCAUCGGCUAACUCCGUGCCAGCAGCCGCGGUAAGACGGAGGAUGCAAGCGUUAUCCGGAAUUAUUGGGCGUAAAGCGUCCGUAGGUGGUAUAGAAAGUCUGUUGUUAAAUCCCACAGCUCAACUGUGGAUCGGCAAUGGAAACUACUAAACUUGAGUGUGGUAGGGGUAGAGGGAAUUCCUAGUGUAGCGGUGAAAUGCGUAGAUAUUAGGAAGAACACCAGUGGCGAAGGCGCUCUACUGGGCCAUAACUGACAC
rnacentral:rRNA from 1 species